UACGUAGGCAGCGAGCGUUGUUCGGAAUUACUGGGCGUAAAGAGUGUGUAGGCGGUGCUCUAAGUUCGGUGUGAAAUCUCCUGGCUUAACUGGGAGGGUGCGCCGAAAACUGGAGUGCUCGAGCGUGGGAGAGGAAAGCGGAAUUCCUGGUGUAGCGGUGAAAUGCGUAGAUAUCAGGAAGAACACCCGUGGCGAAGGCGGCUCUCUGGGACGGUACUGACGCUGAGACGCGAAAGCGUGGGGAGCGAACAGG
rnacentral:rRNA from 1 species